CAGUCGCCGCGGUAAUACGUAGGUGGCAGGCGUUGUCCGGAAUUAUUGGGCGUAAAGGGCUCGCAGGCGGUUUCUUAAGUCUGAUGUGAAAGCCCCCGGCUCAACCGGGGAGGGUCAUUGGAAACUGGGAAACUUGAGUGCAGAAGAGGAGAGUGGAAUUCCACGUGUAGCGGUGAAAUGCGUAGAGAUGUGGAGGAACACCAGUGGCGAAGGCGACUCUCUGGUCUGUAACUGACGCUGAGGAGCGAAAGCGUGGGGAGCGAACAGGAUUAGAUACCCCGGUAGUCCCUGUCUCUUAUAC
rnacentral:rRNA from 1 species